GAUCUUUGUAAAACCAACAUAAUUUGAAUUACCAAAUGAUGUAUAUGAAUAUUCAGGAAAUUUGUAUGUUAACGAGGAAAAAAGAAGCUUACCUUUAUGCGUCCAAAGCGGCUUAUCUAAAUAAUCAAAAAGAAAACGUGUUAAUGAAUUUUUUUGUGCGAUGCAAGACGAUUUUGCGAUGUGCUUUGGACUAAUUUAGGACUAUACAACAUGCAAUCAUUGGUCAGCGUAAAAAAUAAUUCGCCAGAAAUAUUCAAGCAAUUCAAAUGAAUCUUCUUUAGGGUAUCGAUAUUUGACAUAGCUGGAGAAAGAGUUCGCACAAACCAGUUCGCCUCUUUUACAAAUGAAAAGUGAGAGUUGAAUGUGUACGCAAUUGUUCCCUCUUUCGAUCUGAGCUAUGUCAAAUGCCACGUCUCCGCUUUCAUUUUUUGCUUUUCUUCUUUUCGAUUCGCUGUAACGAACGUGAUUGUCAUCCAAUAAAGAGCUAACGUACUCGGCCCAAAUCUGACGUUUAUUCCUAGAAAGAAGGUCGACGUAUCAGUAGCCAAAGAUUUUUGUAUGAUUAAACCUGUUUUCAUAGAAAAGAAAGAAAAAAAAAGCAGAACAAGCUCUUGAUCCAGAAGGAGGGGAAAAAAAACAUGGCCUCGUGCGGGAAUAACUACUAGCUACACACAAAAAACUACUGGUCGCGAGGAGACAUCACGAUUUUCUCGUUCCAGCAAAUUGAAAGAAGGAAUGUUUUCCCUUUCAAAAAAGCUAAAAAAAAAAGGGAACAAAAACAAAACAUACGUUAUAUUAUUUGUCACGAAAAGAAUAUCAAGUCUGCCUUUGCCUCCAUCUUUGUUACUGAUUGAAAGUUCAGCCUUGAUGUUGUAUAAUAUAAAUUAUACCUGUUACCGGAAUGCAGGGCAUGUGCAUUAGCUACUCUCAAAUGUUUCGGGCUGUUUCAACUCCAAACUUUGGAUUAAAAAACCAUUUCUCAUAGCCAUUAUUACGUAAUUUAAAAACAUUUCAGGACAGUUUUUCAUUAGUGAUGUCAGUAAAGAUAUUUUCAGUUAUCACAACAGAUAGAUAAAUAACUGCUCUUACGAAAAUUGACCCCAAAACAAAGGCACUUAGCACAACAGGUUUUCUGGAGGACUAUAGACGAUUUUGCAUAACGUAAUAAACGACAACUAUUUGCUA